rnacentral:rRNA from 1 species
UACGUAGGGUGCGAGCGUUAAUCGGAAUUACUGGGCGUAAAGCGUGCGCAGGCGGUUUGUUAAGACAGGUGUGAAAUCCCCGGGCUUAACCUGGGAACUGCAUUUGUGACUGCAUCGCUGGAGUGCGGCAGAGGGGGAUGGAAUUCCGCGUGUAGCAGUGAAAUGCGUAGAUAUGCGGAGGAACACCGAUGGCGAAGGCAGCCCCCUGGGUCAAAACUGACGCUCAUGCACGAAAGCGUGGGGAGCAAACAGG